GACGAACGCUGGCGGCGUGCCUAAUACAUGCAAGUCGAGCGAAUGGAUGGGAGCUUGCUUCCUGACAUUAGCGGCGGACGGGUGAGUAACACGUGGGCAACCUGCCCUGCAGAUGGGGAUAACUCCGGGAAACCGGGGCUAAUACCGAAUAAUCAGUUCCUCCGUAUGGAGGAACUCUGAAAGACGGUUUCGGCUGUCACUGCAGGAUGGGCCCGCGGCGCAUUAGCUAGUUGGUGAGGUAAUGGCCUACCAAGGCGACGAUGCGUAGCCGACCUGAGAGGGUGAUCGGCCACACUGGGACUGAGACACGGCCCAGACGCCUACGGGAGGCAGCAGUAGGGAAUCUUCCACAAUGGACGAAAGUCUGAUGGAGCAACGCCGCGUGAGCGAAGAAGGUUUUCGGAUCGUAAAGCUCUGUUGUGAGGGAAGAACAAGUACGGGAGUAACUGUCCGUACCUUGACGGUACCUCAUUAGAAAGCCACGGCUAACUACGUGC
rnacentral:rRNA from 1 species